rnacentral:tRNA from 1 species
GUGGCUGUAGCUCAGCGGUAGAGCACCUGGUUGUGGUCCAGGGGGUCGCGGGUUCAAUCCCCGUCAGCCACCCCA